AGUCGUUCUGCCCAUUGUUUUUAAAAGGCUGCGGUAUAUUAACUGUACAAAGGUAGCAAAAUAAAUAGUUUUUUAAUUGAAAACUUGAAUGAAAGAGUUGAUAAAAUAUAAAUUGUCUCAAAAAUAUAAUUUAAAUAAAAAGUAAAAAUGCUUUUAUAUUUUUAUUAGACGAUAAGACCCUAAGAAUUUUAUAAUUUUAUGAAUGUUUAAAAAUUUUUGAUAAAUUAUUUUAUUGGGAGGAUAAUUAAAUAACUUUAAUUAUAAAAUAUAUUUUUAAAUAGAGUUAAUGAUAAAUGUUUUAAUUGUAAGAAUUAAUUACCUUAGGGAUAACAGCGUAAUAAUUUUGGAGAGUUCAUAUUGAUAAAAUUGUUUGCGACCUCGAUGUUGAAUUAAAAUAAAAGUUAAAUGGAGAAAUUUAAUUUUUUAGUCUGUUCGACUAUUAAAAUUUUAC
rnacentral:rRNA from 1 species